UUCUAUUCUAUUUCUGCUUGUUUUAUUUCAUUUAUAUUCAUGCAAAUUUACUUGUGGCUGUGAUGGAUUUGGAAUUUUAGCAACAAAUGAGUCCAAGUUUGAUAAUAUUUAAGAAUAGAUAAUACCAUUAAGGGUUGGUAUAAGAUCAGUAUAAAUACCUAGUACAAAAGGAAAUCGUGUGACUUAAUUAAAAUAGUUAUAUCCAUUAAUGGAAGAAGAAUUUGCAAUUAUAUAUAUGAAGAGGCAGAUGGCAGCAUCGUAAAUAUUAAAACACACGUACAAGAAUUAACUAAAAAUACUCUAACUAGAAAUCAGGAUAAACUGAUCCACUGAUAAACUCCACAGCAAAUUAUAAUGUUCAAAUUAUCGUUUGAAAUCAACAAACAUAUUCCCUAUUAUAAUCAUUUCCAUUUGAUUCAGGCACACAGGCACAAUGCGAGUUUUAAGGGAAAUUACAAAUAUUCCGUGCACCGCAUUAAUAGUAACUAGGAGAAAAAGCACAAAAAGAAAAAAAAGAGUGACUGAUACAUGCACAUCGUAUACAUGCACAAAUUCAUAGAAUUCAAUCGAUGCAGAGCAGUGAUUCGCAAGGGACAUUUGGUUCUCAGUGGAAUGGCAAACGAUGUGUUCAUUGAACACAUACUCGGUACUGUUUCGGCAUUACCGUAUAAAUACAGUGAAUACAAAAUUCUUGGUGGUCUGUGCAGCCAUUAAAGAACAGAAAAUCAAGUAUGUGAGUUUCAAAAAACCAUACCUUCAAGAAGCCCCUUUCCCACAACAGAGCGGAAAUGCCAUAACCAAGUAAGAUCUUACAGACAACGUAGCAGAAAGAUGGAGAGCCAUAUAGAAAAAUUCAAGAAGCGUUCUACGUCCUUGAGUAAUUCAACAAGAACUAAUAUCAUUUUAAUCUCAAUGCUUAAACUUAUGAUUAUGCAGUUGAAGGAGAGUAUCCUUCUAAUCCAUUCCAGCUAUUCAGCAAUUGUUUUAAUAUGCAAAAUGACGUUUAGUUCAAAGAUACAAAACCCACAAUCAACGAUCACAGACAGAAGUCACAGACUAUUCACUUUUUAUUUAUUGUUUUAAGCUUAAAUAUUUCUUCAUUUACACGGUACAUUUCUGGAAUUGACGAUAAAGCAAUGUUUUAAGUUUCGUUAAAAAUUAAACCUAAUUUCGAGACAAAAAUUUUAUCAGGGUUAGGACAGAAGUAAAGGAUAAUUUUUUAGGAAAGAGUAACCGUCAAAUUCAGUGAAAGCCGGAUUUUGCAUACAAAGGACGUGGAGCAGAUGUUCAACGCAGAUGUUCUGUUCUCUGUAGGGGACCAAAGUACGAUGUUUACUUCAAAUUCUAAUUACGAUAUAUUGCAGCAAAAUUAUAAAUUCUAAAUAUUUCAGUGUACU